AAAGACCCUAGUGUGAUUGCAUCGGAGUCGGCUUCCUGGUGAUCUUUUGGGGUUCACGGACACCUUCUGGGACAGCAGCUCCUGUUCGGUUUGGCUUCCCUGUUACUUGGAUAAAACCCUGACCAGAAGCAACUUGGGGUUGGGUGUGGGGAGUGGCUGUUUUGUUUUGUUUUGUUUUGUUUUGUUUUGUUUUGUUUUUCUUCAUCUUACAGCUCCAAAUGGUAGUCAUCACUGAAGGAAGCCAAGACAGGAAUCUGGAGGCAGGACCUGAAGCAGAGGACCCUCAGCGGAGGUUCCUAUCCUGGGUAACAAGUGGACACCAACUAGACAGAAUAUUCCCCAGCCCUGCUGUGACGGGUAGUCACUGUGGACAAGACUGGUGUCUGGUACCAAGGGAAAGGUGGGGCAGCAGACUAAAGCUGGAGUUCAGGGCAGGCUCGGGGUCUUGGUCACACACCAUCAUAUAAGGAAGAAGCUCAGAGCAGGGUUCUAAGGUGACAUGUGACAUGUUCAGGUGCUGUGUGCUAUGUUCCCUGGGCUUUCCAGGUUACACAGAAAACUUGCUGUUUGAAUGCAGAUCCUGGGGUUCCACGAAGGCACUGUGCCUUUGGUUAUACGUGAGCCUCAGUUUCCUCUUGCCAAGGAGGGUGGGGUGAGUAUCAAAUAGGCGCUGGGUCCCAUGUGUCCCUCAGGUCCAGUGCACAGCGUGGCUGCUGCUUCUCCUUAUAGACUGUGAAAUGUAAGAUACCCCAAGUCCACAUAUUGUUGGACUUUCUUUCUUCAAGUUGGUGUGGUGUUCUGAGAGCACACAUUUCUCUGCAACAGCCACGCCCCAAACUGGAAUUCCCAAGGAUGCAUCACACUGAGCAGGACGGUUCACUCAGCCCCAAGCGUGGUCGCCCAUAAAACUUGACACGGACACGGUGCCCCUGGCAGGUUUUAUUUAUAAUCUGCCUGUGAUCUGCUUCGGGAAUACAAAACCAGAAGCACGCCAUUUAAGUCUUCAACGCUCAUUCCGUGGUCCUCAGAUCCUCAGAGGAGGCUCUGUGUCCGCACCGGAUCUGUCUCCUUUGAACCUACCUUUCUGGUCCCCAUUCAGUCCUGUGCAGUCCAGAGAACCUGGCAGCUCUUCUGCAGCCAGAUCUAUCUUUGAACUGCUGUAUCUCUUGUGGGUGAAAAUGUGGGGCUCUGCUUCAGAGCAAAAUUCAAAACAAUCCAGGCUCUGGCAGGCUUUCUUCUUUCCACUGGUGUUUGUACUUAGUGUUUAAUAAAUAUGGGGAGGGUCAAAAUAUGAUGUCAUUAGCACAAAUUUGAUUGAACAUAUCCGGGUUUUGUUUCUGGCCAGUGCUGGAAAGUGACUUGUGAUCGCAUGCUUCCUAAGUACGUGCUCACUAAGCUGCACCCCCCACUCCCUGUAUCAAAUUAAAAAAAAAUAAAAGUAAGGGCAUUGUGUUUGU
rnacentral:lncRNA from 1 species